CCUUCCUCAUCUUCGUAAGACUACCCGCUGAACUUAAGCAUAUCAAUAAGCGGAGGAAAAGAAACCAACAGGGAUUGCCUCAGUAACGGCGAGUGAAGCGGCAAAAGCUCAAAUUUGAAAUCCUCCGGGAAUUGUAAUUUGAAGGUGGUCUCAGUUAGUUCAAACAUUCUUAAGUCCAUUGGAAAAUGGCGCCAUGGAGGGUGAUAGCCCCGUAAAGAAUCCGUUUUGUUCUAUUUUCUUUGACCACCAAAGAGUCGAGUUGUUUGGGAAUGCAGCUCUAAGUGGGUGGUAAAUUCCAUCUAAAGCUAAAUAUUGGCGAGAGACCGAUAGCGAACAAGUACAGUGAUGGAAAGAUGAAAAGCACUUUGAAAAGAGAGUGAAAAAGUACGUGAAAUUGUUGAAAGGGAAGGGCUUGCAAGCAGACACAACCUUUUGGUUGGGCCAGCAUCGGGGCGAGGGGAAGGAAAAAAGAAAAGGAAAUGUAACUCUCGAGUAUUAUAGACCUCUUCCAAAACUUCCAUCUCAUCCCGAGGCCUGCGGAUUCAUCCUAGGAUGCUGGCGUAAUGGUUGCAAGUCGCCCGUCUUGAAACACGGACCAAGGAGUCUAACGUCUAUGCGAGUGUUUGAGUUCUUCAAAACCCAAACGCGCAAUGAAAGUAAUAGGAGCGAACCCCUCAAAAAGGUGCAGCUCCGACCACAUCAAGGCCUAAACCCUGAUGUGAGUAAGCAUGGCUGUUGGGACCCGAAAGAUGGUGAACUAUACCUGGAUAGGGUGAAGCCAGAGGAAACUCUGGUGGAGGCUCGUAGCGGUUCUGACGUGCAAAUCGAUCGUCGAAUCUGGGUAUAGGGGCGAAAGACUAAUCGAACCAUCUAGUAGCUGGUUCCUGCCGAAGUUUCCCUCAGGAUAGCAGAAGCUCGUUACAAACAGUUUUAUGAGGUAAAGCGAAUGAUUAGACGUCUCGGGGCGAAAUAGCCUUAGCGUAUUCUCAAACUUUAAAUAUGUAAGAAGCCUUCCUUUUUUAAUUAAAGGUAGGCAUGAAUGUAGAGCUUUUAGUGGGCCAUUUUUGGUAAGCAGAACUGGCGAUGCGGGAUGAACCGAACGUGAAGUUAAAGUGCCAGAAUACACGCUCAUCAGACACCACAAAAGGUGUUAGUUCAUCUAGACAGCCGGACGGUGGCCAUGGAAGUCGGAAUCCGCUAAGGAGUGUGUAACAACUCACCGGCCGAAUGAACUAGCCCUGAAAAUGGAUGGCGCUUAAGCGUGUUACUUAUACUUCGCCCAAACAAUAUCUUGUUGUUUGGAGUAGGCAGGCGUGGAGGUAGUGACGAAGCCUUGGAUGUGAAUCUGGGUCGAACUGCCUCUAGUGCAGAUCUUGGUGGUAGUAGCAAAUAUUCAAAUGAGAACUUUGAAGACUGAAGUGGGGAAAGGUUCCAUGUCAACAGCAGAUGAACAUGGGUUAGUCGAUCCUAACCUCUAAGUUAAACCUGAUUUAACUCCUCUAUUUUUCAGAGGGUCGAGGGAAAGGGAAUCUGGUUAAUAUUCCAGAACUUGGAUAUGGAGUUUCACGGUAACGUAACUGAAUGUGGAGACGUCGGCGUGGGCCCUGGAAGAAGUUUUCUUUUUCUUCUAACAGCUUAUGACCCUGGAUGGAUUAACCAGAGAUGGGGUUUUAUGGCUGGAAGAGCAAUCAUUUAUUGAUUGUCCGGUGCGCCUACGACGGUCCUUGAAAAUCCACAGGAAGGAUUUACUUUCAUGCCAAGUCGUACUGAUAUCCGCAGCAGGUCUCCAAGGUUAACAGCCUCUAGUUGAUAGAAUAAUGUAGAUAAGGGAAGUCGGCAAAAUAGAUCCGUAACUUCGGGAUAAGGAUUGGCUCUAAGGGUUGGAGGAUUCAGGGUGUGAGGCUAAGUGCGGCGGAGAUAUGUUAUGGAACCUAGGACUUUCCCUCGGGAAGGACCUGGGGUCCGUUUCGUCCCUCUUCCCACCCACCCUCAUCACCCUACCCUCACUAACAACCAUCUUAGAACUGGUACGGACAAGGGGAAU
rfam:Metschnikowia bicuspidata var. bicuspidata NRRL YB-4993 METBIscaffold_13, whole genome shotgun sequence.